AUGAUUUUGUCCAGUGUAUUCCCUAAAACUGCCAACUGAGAAAAUUCUACACUUUGAUCAAGGAGGCUGUUCUCUGUGACGUCAUUUCAUAAAAACCAGAGUAGAGCACUGCAGUUGCUACUGGGACCAUGUGCUGAUGUAACGGCCUUUUGGGAUCCAUUCCCAUUGUAAUGGGCGUAUUAUGUAGGAGGCUGCCGUAGUCUGCAGGAGAUUUCCGUUGGUCCAAUGGUCUUGGCGUCCAACUGCUUCUUAAGAGAUCUGGCAAUGUGAUUUCUUUUAGCUGAACAAAGCCAGCUCUCUGAGUCUGUCUUCGUCAUGGUGGCCAUCCACUGCACUUUCUCCAGCAUGAUGAAGAAUUACUUACCCAGGAAGGAUAUCAGGAGGCUGCUGACUUGACUUCUAUUUAGGUUAGUAUCUUGCUCAUUGCUGUGACAUCU